GAUUGAUUGUUCCGACAUCAACGACCUAUUGCAACAGAGCACAAACAGCUAAGACUUCAUUCCCUUUUCUUGCUUUCAAUUCCAUAGUAUCUUCUAAUCGAUAGGCUAAGUGCAUUUUGUGUAAUCUGUCUACAAAAUCCACACAAAUUCUUGGGAUUGUUGCAAUUUGAAUCAAACUGCGGGUUCCUCUAGAUAUGUGUCGCAUCUAGGUGUUAAUUUGCGUGGGUGAAACUCUGAUAAAUUGGGAUGGAAUUGCGCUUUUCAAAUUCUGAUCUGGGUUCAAAUCAGUUGAAUUAGUAUGAACCCUUAUUUAAAACAAAUCUGAUAUUCUUUCAUCAUGAGUCAAAUUGAGAAAACUUGUUUGGGGAGGCUGAUGCUCGUGGAUGUUAAGUACUUGAGUUGAAUUGGGGUUCCUCUAGAGAUAUGCUGAUCAUUGCUAAUGAUGACAUCUUUGAUUUACAAAUUUUUUGAUGCUAGUGUUAAUUAAUUUCUUAUAAAGGAUUAACUGGGCUAAUAGCUGUGAAACAUCUAACAUCGUUGGAUGCUAAUUGCUGAUACUGGUUUCCAGCUGAUCUGUCAAUUGAUCUUACUCGUGGUUGGUUUCGAUAUGAGCUGAGCAACGAUUUUCUCUACAUCAAUAUUGGGCCUCGAAAAUCAUAAGGGCAAUCAACAGAAGGGAUUCCAUCCGCUUCUCAAAGAAGCUUCAAAGGGAGUUCGAAUUUCUACUGAUUGUGGUAGAAUGUAUUUCUAGACAGUAGCUGGUCUGAAAUGUGGCUAUGUACCCCAGUUUUCUCUCGGCUCGCCUGAACAGGACAAGACAGUUUUCCUCCACCACAAGCUAAGUUUGCUAGCUUCCAUUGCAAAGUGUUUGAUGUUUCUCUGCUCUGAUAUGCGAUUAUGAUAUGAUGACCUUGAUUUUUUAUAUAAGUUUGCUGCUUGAUCCUGGUCACUUUGCUUUCUUGAUUUAGUGAGUUAAGGGAUUUAGAUAUUCUUAAUUUGGGAUUCAAAUAAAAUCGUUGGAGGGAUGCUCGGUUCCUGGUCAAUUGUUUUCCCC
rnacentral:lncRNA from 1 species